GUUGAUUAGGUUCCACUUAUAGGUGAGAUUAUAUGCUGUUUGUCUUUCACUACCUGGCUUAUUUCACUUAGCAUGUGUAUACUCUAUCUCAUUGGAUCUUAUAAGUGGCUUACAGCCCCAUUUUUCCAGAAUGAGGAAACUGAGGAUUUGAGAUGGUAAUGAGCCCACCAGGGGCUACCACAUGGGGAGAGCCUGCUCUGAAGUUCAGUCAAUUCAUUGGAAAGCAGAGGAGACAAAGAAAGACAGAGACAGAGAAAAUAACCCCAUGGAGGAGCUAUUCUGAGCAAGCCCUGCCCUUGAACUUUCCAGUCAAGAACGAAUGAACUCCUUUCUUGAUUCAGGCAGUUGGAGUCCGGCUUUAGAAAGUCCUGAGUCACCAUCAUGACACUAGAGGAGGAAGCAUUGGAUCCCAGCUUCUGUGUGAACAACUAAAGUUCUUACCAAGCAACUGCAAUUGCUGUCAGACCACUAGGACUGCUGGACCCUGUAGAACAUGCUGGGUGACUUCAGUACUGAUUACAUUUCCUGUUUUUCCUCCCUCGUCAGACAGCUAUUCGAUAAAUUCCUGCCACCUAAGGUAACCUGAGCUUGUCUCCAGUUCUUACAGUCUCACAGAACCCAGGGCCCUGCCCUCCCUGCCCUUCUCUGUAUGUGAGGGGCUGUCCACUGCUCUCUAGCCAGCGUCCUGUAUUCCUGCUGAUCUCCCUUCGCUCAUUUCAUUAAGAGUCAGGAUGCAAUCACAGAGAACAGAAUUCACUCAAGCCAUUUAAUCAGAAGAGGAUUUAUUGCAGGCUAUUAAAAUGACGUACAUAAUCAAUGGGUCGGCUUAAAAAACACGUGCUAGUGGAAGCUUCCAGGAACAGAUCCCAAAGCCACAAUGUAGAACUCAGCCACCAGCGGAGCUGCUUCUCUUGCCGUGACCCAGAAGCAAUCUGCUAAGUUGAGCAGAUGCUGUCACAGAUGCUGGCUCCAGACCUAGCCAUGGAUGCUACAGUCUGUCCAAACAAAACAAAUAGUCCAAGCCCUGCCUCUUUCUCCACUUAACUCAGUUCAAGUUCAAGUUUCCCACCAGUGCUUCUGUUUGGCAAAGCCUAAGUCAUUCCAGAACCUAGGAGCAAGGGAGUUCGAGAAGUAAAGAAUUUGCUUUCCAGACUGCAGUGGAGAGAAGAAUUCUCAAAAGAGGUUGGACAAUGUACUGAGAGAGCCAACCAUAAUAUCCACCACAAAUGUUACACUGUACUGAAGCUGAAGAAAUAAAAUAAUUAUGAGCAGGCCUUAAGUAAUUUUGAAUGUUUUUAUGGGCAAAAAAUAAUUGCAUAACCAAUUGUAGAUUAGAUGAGGAGAGGCAUGGAACCCUUGUGUGUGUGAGGAAUAUUUAACUCUGUGACAUAAGUACAUUGCCAAGCAUCAAGUUAUGAUUUGGUAUAUUUGAAAUGUGUCUCAGGGCUCUUUCUUUCUUUGUCUGGUCAGCACCCCUUCCGCUCCUCCUUCUGGUACAUGCAUAGUCACAUGACUCAAUCUUGGCCUGGGGUAAACAUAGCACCACCGUUCUCUAGCUACAGUGACCAGGCCAAUGAGCAAAGCCAGACCAAGAGGCCUUGCCCAAAGGUUUUCUGGAUGAAGCUGACAGGGAAGCCUCUUUUUCUCUUUUUCUUUUCCUUUGUGUUCCCAGCACUGUAAGAAUGUGGCCUUAGAGUUAAUGGGCAAGUUCCCACUCUGGAGGAAUGCCUAAGAAAGUGAAACCGGGACCAACGAGGGAAAAAGAAAUGAGAGGCAGAGCUUGAGAAUUUUCUGAUUCCACCUUUGGGGACUGGAGCUUCCUCCUCUCUGCAGUUAUUUCUUCAGUUUGUGAGCUAUCCAUCAUCCUUCCAAUAAAUACUACCUUUUGGGUUAAAAUCAUUAGAUUGAGUAGGGUAUUUUAGUCACAUGCAAUUUUAAGGGUCCAUGACAGUCUCAAUUUUAUAACCCACUAGUUCCACUAGUCACUUGAAGAAAGGUGGUGUCCUUUGUGGCCCCUGGGGAAAGUGAGAUUUUUUUUCUUACCAUAUAUUGUUUGAGGUUGACCUAAAUUCCAAUGAAGUCUAAACCUGAACUACAUUUCUAAUCCACCAACUUGAUUUCAGUAAUAUUGGUAAUGCCACUCAAUUUCAGAUAAGCAGCCUC